AAAGUCGUAACAAGGUCUCCGUUGGUGAACCAGCGGAGGGAUCAUUACAGAGUUAUCAAAACUCCCAAACCCAUGUGAACAUACCUCGCGUUGCCUCGGCAGGUGGCGCCCCGCCCUGUGAGGACCUACCCUGUAGGAGCUCACCCGGUGGUCGCCCCUGCCGACGGCCCACGAAACUCUGUUUUUUAUAGCAUUAGACCUCUGAAAAGAUAACUAAAUAAGUUAAAACUUUCAACAACGGAUCUCUUGGUUCUG
rnacentral:misc_RNA from 1 species